rnacentral:rRNA from 1 species
UAGGGAAUCUUCGGCAAUGGACGAAAGUCUGACCGAGCAACGCCGCGUGAGUGAAGAAGGUUUUCGGAUCGUAAAACUCUGUUGUUAGAGAAGAACAAGGACGUUAGUAACUGAACGUCCCCUGACGGUAUCUAACCAGAAAGCCACGGCUAACUACGUGCCAGCAGCCGCGGUAAUACGUAGGUGGCAAGCGUUGUCCGGAUUUAUUGGGCGUAAAGCGAGCGCAGGCGGUUUCUUAAGUCUGAUGUGAAAGCCCCCGGCUCAACCGGGGAGGGUCAUUGGCACCUGGGAGACUUGAGUGCAGAAGAGGAGAGUGGAAUUCCAUGUGUAGCAGUGAAAUGCGUAGAUAUAUGGAGGAACACCAGUGGCGAAGGCGGCUCUCUGGUCUGUAACUGACGCUGCGGCUCGAAAGCGUGGGGAGCAAACAGG